rnacentral:lncRNA from 1 species
GCCGUCCCUCGCCGUCCUUCGCCAUCGCACGCCACCGCACCCCAUCUCUCGAAAUCUGCAGACAUCUUGAUUUUUCCCACGCUGUCUGUCAGGUCUCCGCCGCCACUCGACGCCAGGGCGCCGGGCCUUGUGGGCUGUGCUGCACCUCGGACGGCUUCGCACCAGCCAGCGCCCUCUCUCUCCUGCAGCACUCUGAUCUGCACCCCCUGAGGGGCUUCCACUGUCCGCGGGGUGAGAAUGCCCCUGGGAGUGUCACAUGACUGCCGCCCCAUGUGUGUGAGAGGCGUCCUCUGGGAGAGCAUGGAUCCUGAGGUCCCAGGGAGUGGUAAGUGAUCUCUGGGAGUCAGAAGCAGCAUCUGUAAUCUUAGGCUGUAAGUCUGCUCAUUGCCCUGUCAGCUGUUCUGUUCCAGGAUUGUCAGCUGACCUCUGUCCUGUGUGCCCAGUGGCCCCAGGUGACGUGUCUUCAAGAAGAGGCUGAGCUGCGGUGCUUGUAAGAGUCAUGUGCUGUUCCUGGGGCUUGGAUGAUGUAGGGGAAGCAAGGUGAAAGUGGUAUCCCGUGGUUCCACGUUCUGUCCUGCUGUGGGGCUGUCCCUCACAUGCUUUCAGUGGCUGUUGCAGAGGAAGAGCCUCCGGAAAUCUGCGUGGGUCUCAGCCUUAGAUCCAAGGACAGUCCAAGGAAGUCCUAAGACCAUGGAGUUGGUGAUCUGGGAUCUGGGUUUGCUGAUAUUUCUCACCGUGAAUCUCUUGGUGGUGUUUGUGGGCACGAGAGGGGCAGAGAAUGGAGAGUGAGGCUACCACAUGAAGCGUCACCAGAGCUGCUCCCUGCUGCCUGCUCAGAGCACCCCGGAUCCACUGUUCAAUCUGCACAAGAUUCGGGGUCCAGACAUGGGAGACUUCAGCUGCCUCAGAGGACCGUGGACAGGGAAGGCCAGCCUCGCAUCCCUCUGUCCAUGCCUGGAAUGACUUUAAUAACCAAGAGUUUUAUUUUUGAAUUUGUAGCUGUCGUUCACUUUUUACCCACCCAUUCAAUAAACCUUACAGAAUUGC